rnacentral:rRNA from 1 species
GCAUGUUCACAUGAUUAAAGGUAUUCCGGUAGACGAUGGGGAUGCGUUCCAUUAGAUAGUAGGCGGGGUAACGGCCCACCUAGUCUUCGAUGGAUAGGGGUUCUGAGAGGAAGGUCCCCCACAUUGGAACUGAGACACGGUCCAAACUCCUACGGGAGGCAGCAGUGAGGAAUAUUGGUCAAUGGGCGAGAGCCUGAACCAGCCAAGUAGCGUGAGGGAUGACUGCCCUAUGGGUUGUAAACUUCUUUUAUAAAGGAAUAAAGUCGGGUAUGCAUACCCGUUUGCAUGUACUUUAUGAAUAAGGAUCGGCUAACUCCGUGCCAGCAGCCGCGGUAAUACGGAGGAUCCGAGCGUUAUCCGGAUUUAUUGGGUUUAAAGGGAGCGUAGAUGGAUGUUUAAGUCAGUUGUGAAAGUUUGCGGCUCAACCGUAAAAUUGCAGUUGAUACUGGAUAUCUUGAGUGCAGUUGAGGCAGGCGGAAUUCGUGGUGUAGCGGUGAAAUGCUUAGAUAUCACGAAGAACUCCGAUUGCGAAGGCAGCCUGCUAAGCUGCAACUGACAUUGAGGCUCGAAAGUGUGGGUAUCAAACAGGAUUAGAUACCCUGGUAGUCCACACGGUAAACGAUGAAUACUCGCUGUUUGCGAUAUACAGCAAGCGGCC